AUUCACGACCAAUUUGAUGUUGCUUUGAAUCGUGUGUCCCCCUCCUUCAGUGGGAGCAUCUUAUUGAUUUUGAAUUAUAAUUAAGAAAUGAAAAAAUUCAUUUUUGCAGGAAGUCUUGACAUUUCCUGAGAAAAAUUGACCUAAAUAAAGGUGAGCAUAAUGUUUAUGUAUUGGUGGAUUGAUUAUGGAUGUAUAGCUCAUCUUUCUAAUAUGAUGCAUGAAUUCCUUUGAACUCGAACCACAAACCCAAAUGAGAAGUUUGUCUUCAUGGGAAAUAGAGUGAAUGUUUUAGUUGAAGCUAUCAGGACUUAUCGUUUAAUCUUUAACACUGUAUUUUAUUUAGAAUUGUUUUAUACUUUUUAUGUACCUAGCAUUUUUUGAAUUUAGUUUCUUUGUCUAAAAUUGAUGUUGUUGAUACUCUUAUAGGUUUGGGAAGGGUUGUUUCAGUUUGUAUAAGCAUACUUGUAUAGGAUCUAGUGCACUUUAUGAUGAUUUAUAUGUUAAAACUCUUAUGACCUCACAUCAUAAUGUUGACACUAAAAAUAGUUUAGUUAAUGAAUGUUUAGCUUAAUUGUGGCAUAAGUGUUUGGGAUAUAUUUCCAAAGAAAUUAUGCAAAUAUUGGUAAAUAAUGAAAUCUUUCUGAAUUUAGAUUUUAGUGAUUUAAAUGUAUGUGUAGAUCAUACAAAAGGAAAACCAACAAAACACACAAAGAAAAAGCCACAUGAAACAUUCAACUUCUUGAAAUUCUUUCAAUAAAAAAUGUGCUCUAUCACAUUUUUAAUGAUUUCUCACAAUAUGGGUAUGCCUAUUUACUACAUGAGAAAUAUCAAGCAUUCAUGUCUUAGAAAUUAUAUAAAUGAACUAGAAAGACAAUUAGAUAUAGAGGUGAAAACUGUCAGGUUAGAUAGAAAUGAUGAAUAUUGUGGAAAAUAUGAUGAAAACUGUCCAUAAAAUACUUUGUUUUAUUUUCAAAAUUGUCACUAAGUUUUUUUAUUGUUGUGGUUAGGGAACCCAGGCGUCAAUGACAUUUUCUCCACUAGUGUAGGUUUCUCAACUCAUUUCUCACCAGAAAUAGUAAAAUGUGUUACUCGGCUAAAUAAAUCAAUCACGUGUUAUUGGAAUAAUUACUUACUUUUCUAUUAUAAAAAUUUUGACAAGCAUGAUAUUUAUUCCUUUUAUAACGAUUAUAUGACUUUUUUGAUUUACAUAAGAGCUUUUAAAUUUAUUGAUUUUGACUAUUACACUAAACGAGGGAAUGUUUUUUUUAUAGUAUUAAGAAGUGGAUUUUAAGCCUAACUCAACCUCAUAAAACCGGCUCAUGGGGUGAGGUUUGCACCCACUUAUAUACAAUGAAAUAUUCUCAUCUCUAGUCGAUGUGGGAUCUCUAACAUAUUGUUUUGCUAUUUCUUUUUUUCCCUCUAUUUGUGUGCAAACAAAUCUGACUGAAAUCAAAUAAUAUAGUUGAACGUGAGAAUCUUAAAUCGAAAAUAGUCUUUAUUAAUAAAUUAUCAAUAAAACUAGUUAUUAUUUUAAGAACUAUUCAUUAGUGAUGGUAUAAGACAAAAGUUGAAUAACAAACAAUCAUGAGUGCUCUUCACUCAUCCAACAUAAAAUGUAAUGACAACGAAGCAAAAUAUGGUACCACAAUUGAAAAACAAAGACUCUCUCACUUGGCACAGGUUAUGAUAAAAAAAAAUAGUUAUACUUAAACAUUGAAUUGAUAAAAACACUUGAUCACUUAUUCAAAUUAUUUGAUCACAUGUGUAAAUGUGACACAUUUCUCAAACUGGAAUUGAAAUCAACCACAAACAUAUCUAGAUCGACCUUGCUUUAUAUUAUUAUCCUCUCUCUUAACCUAACUAGCUAGUCGGUAAACUGGUCUAGUUAACAAAUGAUUCUUUCUAGGUAUGCUAAGUCCAAAUAUCUCUUGCAUGUCUAACUCAUCACAAGACAUGCCCAAUGGAAGCAUCCAAUCAAAACAAUGCACCAAUUGAGCCAAAACAAGACUAACUGUGGUUAGACCCAAAUGAAUCCCGGGGCACCCUCUUCGACCCGAACCAAAUGGUAAAAUUCGAAAGUCCUUUCCACGAAUGUCUACAUUGUCAUUCUCAAACCUUGUAGGAUCAAAAAUCUCGGCAUUGUCCCAAACAUUAGGAUCUCGCCCUAUAGCCCAUGCAUUUACUAUAAUUCUUGAUUUUUUCUUUAUUAAAUAACCAUCAAUGAUAACAUCUUCUCUACACUCGCGAGGUACUAGUAAAGGUCCAACUGGGUGCAACCUUAGUGUUUCCUUCACCACCAUGUUCAAAUAAGAUAACUUUUGUAAGUCAUUUUCCUCCACGUGUUUGUUCAUUCCAACCACAUGUUCUAGCUCGUGUUGAAGUCUUUUCAUCACACUUGGGUGCCUCAAGAGUUCUGACAUGGCCCAUUCUAACGUUGUGGAAGACGUUUCUAAUGCUCCAGCGAUCAUGUCUAAUAUGAUAGCUUUGAUGUUUGUCCUAUCAAUGACAUUUUGGUGGUUGUGAACAUCAUCUGGUUGAUGCAUGAGUGAGAGCAAAAUCUCCACAAAAUCUAUGUUGUAUUUUUUCUCUUUCUCAUAUGAAUUAUUUUCGUGGUCUUGGAUUAUCUGCUCUAACCUUUCGUCAAUUGACUUGCUUGUUUUCUUUAAUCUUUUUGUUAUUCCCUACAAUGGUUGCAUGCAUAAAUUCUUCAUGUAUUAAAAAAUAACAUCACUUAUAAUUCCAUCAUAUUCUUUCAUAUGUAUAUAACAACAAACAUUGAUAAACACUAGCAUUAAUAAGUGACCAAUUUACUAAAAAUUGUACAAUUUAUUAAAAUAUUUUGCCAUAAUUAAUUGAAUUUAUUUUAUAUUUGACUAUUGGUGCUUUAUUUAUUUUUUUUUCAAAUUGCAUUCCAUUAAAUGUACUGCAUUUCAUUAACUAAUUAAAUUUUCUAAAUUUACAAUAUUAUAUUCAAUAAUUUUUAUAAGAAAUUUAAAUAAUUAAAAUUGAAAAAUCAUAUCCAAUCAAAGUCAAAAAAUAACAAAUACACAUAAAGGUAUUAUUAAAACUUGAAAAUUAAAUAAAAGUAUAAAGAAACAAAAGAAAUCUAAAUCGUUUAGAAUACGUAAAAAUGACAUUAAAAAUAAAAUAAAAUAUACUAAAAAACUCUAUUCAUGCAAAUACAUAGAUUUAAAAAAAAUAUAUAAGUACCAAUAUAUUAUAUUUGGAUGCACGAUUUUAAAAAUAUAAAAAUCAUGUUUAAGAGUACGAUUUUUAUUUUAAAAUAAUUUUUUUAUAUAUUUCUACAGUCGCACUUUAUAACAUAUUUUAAUAAAUUCAUGCUGGUACGUUUAUUUUAAUUGUUUAACUUUUUUUGUUAAAAUUGUGUUUAAUGGCACAUUUUUAUUUUCAAUAAAAUCGUGCCAUUACAAUAGGCAUGCUUUUAAUAUCUUUUAUACUUUGGUGUGUAAAAUGUACCUCUUGGCAUGUUUUGUGUUUUUUUUUUUUUUUUUAAAUGGUUCACAAGUUAUCUGGAUUUUUUUGCAAUAUAUGGAAAUUGGUAGGGUUUGUUUUUAGUAGUUUGUCGGGAAAGUUUAGUGUUGUUACACUUUUUUUUUUUUUUUAGAAAAAUGAUUUUUUGACACCCCAUUUUUCUUUUGCUCCAAAUUACACAUUUGAAUUACUUAUGUGAUAGGGGUAUUUUUGUAAAAUAAUAAACAUAAGGUGGGUGUAAUUUGGAGCCUAGGUGUCAAAUUAUCACUAUUCUUUUUUUAUGAGUUGAAUCAUCUAAAAAUGGUUCAGAUAUAUAUAUUAUUUAUUAUUGAUAAAAAAUAGAUAAAUGUUAAAAAAAAAUUAGAUAAAUCAUGUGAACAAGUAUUAAAGGGUUGAGAUAACUUUUUGUAUUGCUCUGAAUUUAGUUUCAUUUUAUUUUUGAUAAAAAAAAUUAUGUGAAUCAAGACUUCUACUUUCCUUCUAUCAUUAUUUUUUAUAUAUAUAUUUUUCUAAAAUAUUGUUUCUUAGUCAUUUUUAAGUGCAUAUGCUAACAAGUUUUAGUGGCAACAUAUACAAUACCUGAAAAUCAAACAGCCCUAGCCAGGGCAUGUAAUCUGCAAGAUUAAAAGCUCCAACCAAGUUCAACGCUUCUUGAAUAAGCCUUUUCAGCUCCAAUUUAUCAUCUUUCACACGCCCCAACACCAUUCUAAACACCAUCUUCUCCACCACCUCUGCCACCAACUCACUCAGAUCCACAACCUCACCUGACGCAGCAGAAUUUUUCAGAGACUCCACCAACACUCCCAACUCCUCUCUCCUCAGAGGACCAAACAUCUCAACCUUUGAGGCACUCAGAAGCUGCACAGUGCACACUUUUCUCACGUUGCGCCAGUAUGCACUGUACUCAGAAAAAACCAAACCCUUGCUGCCAUGUGAAAGGGUUUCAGAGACUUGGAUUUUGGGUCUGCUGGCAAAAACAGUGUCAUGGGUUUUGAGGAACAGUUCUGCAGUUUCUGGGGAAGAGACCACUAUGGCUGGGACCUGCCCCAGAUUUAAGGACAUUAUGGGACCAUAUUUUGUGGCAAGGGAUUGAAGGGUUCGAUGUGGGAGUUUUCCUAACAUGUGAAGGUUUCCAAUAAUUGGCAAGGGUUUGGGACCUGGUGCAGUUUUCCAAUCAUGUUUCUUUUGGAACAAAAAAACAAUGAAUGAUAUUAAGAGAAGUGUUAUAGGGAUAGCUAGUGCUUGAAACAACAUUUCUAAAUUGUUUAUUUGCUUUGUGAGAAUUAAGAGGUGAGUUUAGGUUAUUUAUAGACCUUAAUAUAUAGUAUACUGUGUGUAUAUAGAUAUAUAGGUAGAUAUUGAUGGGAAAAACGCGCGCGAAAACAACACACAUAAUCACGAAAUCAACUGCAGAAAAAUAAACGACACAAGAUUUAACGUGGUUCGGUCGCCAACUGCAACCUACAUCCACCCGGACAACUAUUAGGUUUACAUUAUAUCCUGUUACACACCAAUUACAAGUACAAUAAUCUCUUUAAAUAGAGAUAAAUAGAGAUAAUAAAGGGACAUAACAAUUAAGCUCACUCACUAAACAUGUGUCUUGUCAGCCCAACCCAAUUGGUCCUGGCUUCGUACCCAACAGAUAUAUAUAUAUAUAUGGUGCUGGCUUCGUACAGAACAUAUAUAUAUAUAGACUUUCAAAUGUAUUAGAAUAUGUCUUGUGAUUUUGGAGGAUUUUAAUAAAUUAAAUAAUAAAAUUGAGUAAUCAAGAAAUAACUUGCUAUGAUUGUCAAGGCAAAAUCGUAAUAAUAUUAAUAAUGGCAGGUAUUUUAGAUUUUGUAGGAAGAUAUUUGUUUUUAUAUAAAUAAAGAGCAAUAAUAAAUAACUUUUUAUAUAUAAAAUGUUAUAGUUAAAGUUACAGAUAGAUUAAUUACUUUAAAAGCAUAAAUAUUAUUUUUAAUUUAUAAUGAAUAAUGUAAAUUAUGAUAUUAGAAUAUUUCCUCUUUUUACUCUGAUGUAACUAAAAAAUAUGGUAUCAGAAUAUUUUAACUAUAGAUAAUUCCAAACUUAUUAAAACUUACUUUGGAAUACAUAUAAGACAUGAUAAAUUUAAUGUUUCAAUAAAUUAAUAUAUGAACAGAUAAAAGGAAAGUAUCUUGAUAUGAUUGAAAGAAGAAAAUCAGUUUUUUAAAUGUAAAUAAAAUGUAUAUUUGAAAGAAAGACAAAAAAGAGAGUAUUGAGAAUAUUUAAAGAAAAGUUAAAAGAGGAAGAAUAUUUCUGAAUUAUAUAUUACAUAUUGUAAUUUAUAAUAGAAAUAAGUUAAAGAGAGCAUUUAAAAAUGUUUUGGUCGCAGUGCUUUUUCCCUUACACACUGUCAUGGUUGGUACCUCCUUGUUUGCUACCUCUUUUUUUGUCUUGUUAUUUAGACUGUUCAUUAUAUCUUAGUUUAAUUCUAAUUUUUAUUUUUAAAAAUUAAAUUUUUAUAUCAAAUCAUUUUUAAAAAUAUUUUUUAAUAUAUAUGAAUUUAUUCUAUUUUAGUCUUUAUUUAUUUAUGGUAAUUCAAUGAUAAACUCGACCAAAAUCAAUAAUAUAUAGACAUGGGGUAGAGUUUAUUCGUAUUGUGAUCUUCAAUAAAAUAAUAAGCCAAUAACGACGAAGACCUUGUCUUCUAGAUUAGAGGCACAUGGAUCUAUGCAGACAAUAUAUCUUUUAAUACAUGAUACGAAACUAUUUUAAUUUUAAAUAGUUUUUUAAUAUAUAUGACUUAAAAUCAAAGUCAGACGAUUUUUCUUUACUUAUGAUAUUAUAUUAUAAAAGAUGGAAAUGCGUGCCAAAACCUUUUUACAACUAAAAGAGUGCAUUAAUAUCAUACCUAAUAUUAUUUGAGUUUAACUAACCCAAGUACUUAGAUAACCAAAUAUAAAAGCAAAUUGGUAGCCUAAAAAAAAUAAUCAGAAAACAAAGUUUAUAGUGUUGACAAAUACUUUCAUAUUUCUAUUGAUGUAGUUUUUGUGUAUUUAAAAGACAAAAGUCUAAUAUCACUAUUACUAACAUUUUUUUUUUCAUUUUGAAAAGUAGAUGAUAACAAUUUGAUGGGAGUUGAGAAAGAAAAAAAAAAAGAGUUUUUCCUUAUGUAACAAAGGUUGUUUACCAUUGAUCAUCAAGAAAGAGUGUAAUGAGAAAAUAAAUUACAAAAAGACAGAUUAAGAAAAUAUGAUUAAAGAAAUUACUCAGAGUAAGUCUCUUAUGGAUUAAUCAAGAUAAAUGUUUAUCACUAUUAUAAUGUAUGUGAUAAUCAUAGACUCUAAGAUUCUUAUAAUAUACAUCAGAAUCUACAUGUAGUGUGGGAAUCAGGAUGUCCAAAUUUAUGAUUAUCCAUGGAUAAUGUUUUUUUACCAUAAUUUUUAAAAAAAAUAUGAAUUUGUGAAAAGAAGAAUUUUUUAUAAUUAAAUUACCAUAAAUUUUAUGGCACCUCAAGGAGCACGAGUGCACAAGUCUCAUUCUGUUAGUUGAAUGAUCAUGUGAAUCUGUGUGAGUAAUCAACUAAUUUCUUUGGUAAGAAUUGCAUUAGCUCUACACAUGUAUAGCCUCUCGGUCAUCUAAAAAUAUAAAACAAAUUUCAAUUCAAAGUGACCCUUUACAGGGCCUACAUUUCUGCAUAAACGUUUCUUUGGUAGGAAUUGCAUUGGUUUUACACAUGUAUCAGUCUUUCAACCCUCUAAAGAUAUAAGACAAAUUCCAAUUCAAAGUGGCCCUUUACAGUGCCUGCAUUUUUGCAGAAAGGACUCGAGGACUUUUCUACAUUUAUUUUGCAUUUUUUAAUGCUUUAAUUAAAUUGAAAUGCUAACACCCAAAUCUCACCUUGCAAUUUUGUGCUUUUACUCAUUCCAAGGAAAGAAGUCAAAUCCCGACCGAUCUGAUGUUGCUUUGAAUUUUGUGACCUCCUUCUUCAGUUGGAGCAUCUUAUUGCUUUUGAAUUCCAAUUAAGGAAUGACAAAUUUCAUUUUUGUGGGGAGUCUAGACAUUUCCAAAUGGUUUGCCCCAAAUGUAAAGUUUGAUUCAAAAAUAAAGGUGAGCAUAAUGUUUAUGUAUAUUUUGAAUCAAAGUUAACUAAAGUUUGCUAUAAUAUUUGGUGGAUUGAUUAUGGAUAUGUAUAGCUCAUCUUUCUAAUAUGAUGCAUGAAUUACUUUGAAUCCGAACCAUAAACCCAAAUGAGAAGUUUGUCUUCAUGGGAAAUAGAGUGAAAGUUCUAGUUGAAGCUAUCAGGACUUAUCGUUUAAUCCUUAACAUUGUAUUUUAUAUAGAUUUGUUUUAUACUUUUUAUGUACCUAGCAUUUCUUGGAACUUAGUUUCUUUGUCUAAAAUUGAUGUUGUUGGAUACUCUUAUAGGUUUGGGAAGGGUUGUUU
rnacentral:lncRNA from 1 species